GGGUCCGUGCCGCAACGUUGGGAAAGGGGGAAGGGGGCAGGGGCCCCGGCCCGGCGGGGCCUGGAGGCUCGGAGGCCGCCCCACCAUCCGGCAGGUGAGCUGGAACGAAAGGGAAUUCCCACCUUUCUGUGUGGUUUAAAUAUCUAAAUUGUGAGGAGCAUCAUUAGUCUAAAAGACUCUCCAUCAACCCAUGUUCAACCCACUUCACCUCCACCAAAAAUUAACACUUACCAAAGAAAAUAUUGUGAAAUGUUAUUCCAGUGUUUCUUGAAUAGGUUGAAACCAAAGCAAAGUAUCCAGGUUUGCUGUUUAAGAUAGCUGAACAUCAAAUUUUCUCUGACUGUGGAGAAUAUAAUUAUUUUGUUAUUAAUUUAUUAAUUACGUGCAGCAAGUAGAAAGCAGAGCUGAAAAUCCUUUUUAGGAAGUCAUUUAUUUCAAUGGUACUGACAUUUUUUAUUAUUGGGCCUAUCUCUCUACUGUAAUGGGAUAGGUCCUUCAUAUAUACAAGCACCCCUAUUUUCUGUCCAGCAAGUAGGUGUUACUUCUGUACAAUAGCUAGAAUCUUGUCCCUGGGUAGUUGUGUUCCGCAGCCACUGCCCGAAUUGCCAGGUAUCAAUAGAAACUUCCUCUCCCUGAUCCAAGUUUUGAUACCCCUGGGAAAUGACACCAUUCCUCACAUCCUGUGCCUCUAAAUGCUCCUCAGUAGGGGACCUGAAUUUCACUAGAAGGGGAAAGGUCAGCCUUCCCCAUGGACUUUCUGCUGCUGGGGUAGCAUAACCUUCAGCUCACUUUUGCUGAGGGAAUGCAAUGAACGUGGAACAAGUGUCCACCCAGCUGGCCACUGGCAAUGCUCAAAAUGCACCCCUAGGUAGGGAGGAUCUGAUGGCUCUGCUCCCUUCCUAUCCUGUUGACUGAGACUAAGUACAACAUUCUUCAAGUGAUUUUCAGUGGGAACUUCUAAGGGAAAAGGUCGGAAGAAGGAGAAAUACCAGAUUAAAUUCUCCUGGAGCUUUACCUGGGCCUCCAAGGAUAUGUCACUGUCUUCUCACAGCUCAAGAACUCCUGAUCUAAUCCAUUUCCCUUGCCCAAGAGCAGGAUCAGUCACAAUUAAACUGAUGUCAACAUGAUUGUCUAGCCUGCCUUGUAGCAUCUUUGUCACUGGAGAUCUUUACUUUCCAAAGUAAUAUAUUCCAGUGCUUCACUGUCACUUUGGUUGGACAGCUCAUCUUUUUGUUUUGUUUUCUCCCUAGUGUCUUAUUUAAACUUCCAGUGGUCAAUCCAAGCGACAUUAAUUAUUGUCCUUUUCACUUAGACAGAUUAUCCCUUUCCUCUUGAAAGCAAACUUUCACAUGACUGAGGAUUCCUGACCUCAGUCCUCUCAUUUCUAGGCUCAGUUCUAUCAUUAGAAGUCAUUGUCUUCUACACCUCUAUCUUGUUUGUUUGAACUCCCUCCACCUGUAAGUGUGGUUUCCGAAACUAAAUAGCAUAUAAUUACUCAGUGUCUGAAAACAGAUUUCCUAUUUAUUCAUCUCACAAGAUUUGGUGGGUUUUUGUGGGUUUUUUUUUGCUGUGGCACAAAAUUAGCAACAUGUUGAUCUUAAUCUCUUCACAUCCGAGGGGGUUUUAUCAUUGAUUAUUGUACUAUAUUAAAUAGUCAUUGAAGUGCUCUUCUUUAAGACUAGUAUCAAAUUAAUAUUAGAUGUUUAUCUGAAAGACAUUUAAAAUUACUAUUUUUUCUAAAUUUUAAGUUUAAAAAUUACUGAAAAAUGAGCCAGAUUUCUACUACUUGACAAUUACAUAUAAUACCAGGAGAACUGGGUUUGGAGUAGUGAUGGAAAAUGGGUAAACUCCUGAAUAUGUUCCUCUUUUUUCUUAAAUGAAUGGUACACUCCAGAACCAUCACAUUCUUCUACCAUGUCACUUGGUCAGAAAUGAAAAAUUAGGAAGCUGGCUAGUGCUGAUAAGGUAACGUUCUGAAAUGCAAAGAAUUAGUUAACAGAUUUUGUGCUUCUGCUGAUAAGUCAAGGAUCUGUAAUGUUUGUAAAAAUUACUUAAACUUAUCUUUUUAAACAAAAUGACUCCUGUGUCAUUUUUGUCGACUCAUUUCCAUCCUUUCACUGUGAUAAAACCAUGGUCAGUCAUCUUGCCAAGGUUUUUGCUACUUCAAGGAAUGACACAAAUCUAUUGGUUUCUACUUAUAUGUUCUCAUCUUCUACACUGGAAAUGAGCAGGAAUGUUGGGCUCUCAUUGAUAAGGAGUUGCAUGAUUUUCUUGAAAUUAGGCUUUGCUUUGUAUCAUCUUUGGUAAGCACUGCUCUCUUUACAUGGCACUCUGGUUUUAGGUAUGACUAUUUCUGAAUGACCCCCUCUUUUCCCAGCUGAAGUAGAUGAUGAUCAUUCCACUCUGGACUAAAAAUCUAAUCACAGUGACACAAAGAACACAGGGAGACCCUGGACAGAAGAACGUACAAGCAUCAAACAAAAUAAAGGGAUCUAGUGAAGUUUAGUGAUAAAUGCAGCCAGCCAUCCCCAGCUACCCAGUGGGAUUCCAGUAGAAGGUGACAUGAUUCCAGUGUCUAUAUCCAUAUCAAAAUAAGACUUAGAAGAAAUUUAGUAUUUUUAAGGCAUGAACAGUAGUAAUGAGAGACAACCAAGAGAAGUAAUGCAUGCCAUUUAUUUAGAGCCAUUGGAAAACCAGUCAAUCAUCUCAUGAUCUUGCCAAACCUAACAGCUCACAUGGUGAUCUCUAAUGGGUCUUAUUUAAGGUUUAAACAGAGAACUGCUUGAAAUAUUACACUGAAAUAAAACUAUGACAAAACUAUUUUAAUGGAGUUGUUUAUAUCAGCACCACUUUCAACUGAAACUUGUAACAUUCCAUUAUUCAAAAGCAUGGCAGAAAUAGCAAUACCACAGUUACUGCUUCAGAUACUUCCCAUGGACUGACCCAGAUACCUAAUGGAUUCUGUCAGCCAUGUUUUAGAGCUUUAAGUAAGAUGACUUCAAUUAGGAUACCUUAGUUAGUUUUUUUGGUUGAUGCAACCAAGCCUUCAGUAGAAACUUGGCUGAAACUUUGCUGAAAACACAUGCAGUAUCUUACAGGAAUGAACUUACUCUCCAUUACUCAGUAUUUGCAUGCCUAGCUUUAGUUCAGGAGCUUGCAGCCAGUGUCUUCCCUCAUUUUUGCUAUUCAAGGCAAAAAAACCACUUUCAACAUCAUUAUACAUUCAUGGCUUUUAAGUUUUUUUAAAUAGAGCCAGUCUUUGAACAGAGACAGAACCUUCUAUGUGCAGAUUCCAUAUUUUGCUAAGGCCAUGAUUUAAAAUUUCACCUCAAUCUUACCUGUUACAGGCUAUUGAAUAGGAGAUAAAGCACCUGCUGAAGAGCAUGCCUGAACACCACCUUUGGAGAAAUGGGCAGAGUGAAAAGGCACAAGCUCUUAGAAAAUAGUAUCAGUUUACGUAAGUGGGAAAAUAAAAGGUGUUUGAAAGCACAGUCAGCCUAAGGAACUUAGCUUCAGCUAUAAAGAAUUGAAUGGAAAAAUGUAAUUUUUAUAUUCAUCAGGUAAUUCCAUUUAAAAUCUGUGCCUCAUUUAGUAAAAAGGAAAACUAGAAUUAUAUUCUGGGCACAUUUUAUAUACCUUUAUAUGCAGAUUUACUUUGGCUGUAAAGCUCAAGGAGGCGCCUUACCAAGUGGCAAGCAUACUAACAUGACCUUAACUCACUAACAACUUUUUCCUACUGAGUUUUUUGAAUAAACUUCUGUCUCAAAGCUGUGUUCCAAAAAUACCAGAUUUUUUUUUUUUUUUUUCAAUCCUUCAUCCAGCAACAGAAUUGAUGCAGGAAUGUUUCUGGGUACUGUCAGGACAUUCCUCUUCUGAGGAAUCUGCAAGAAUUGGAUUAUUACGAGAUAAAAGCUUGGGAUCCAUUUGAACAUCAGCAUACCAUUUAUCCAGUUUAUGAAGAAGUACAUUAUACUGUGAUCAUCACACUCCAGCUGCUGGACGAAAAGGCAAAAGCAAUCCUACUUGCAGGCAUAUAAAACUGAUUGUAAUGGCACUGCUUCUUUCUCAUCUUUCUCCAGUAAUAGAUGGCAUGUUAGCGUUAAACAUUUUCAGCACAAAAUUUCUAAAUAGGCAAUAAUGUAGGAAUGCAGUGGGCUGCAACUCUGGUACAUUUUUGAAUGGAAGCAGUACAUAUCUAGUACAUUAUCUAAUUUUGAUAUUAUCUUCAUUUUAUUUGCAAAAUGAUGGGUGUUUUUUUCCUUUUAAAUAGAAUAUUGAGGACUUGAACUUUGCUAUUUGAUGAGGUCAAAAAGAGCCUUGGAAUAAUCCUGUCUGCCCAGCAGCAGCUGACAGGCUAGGGAGUAUGCAAACCACCCCCUCUGCCCUGCUUUUUCCCUGCACUGCAGGACAGGAUUGAGGAUCCUGGUUACCAGUCCCUCCCUGUGUCAGCCACCAGGCUAUCCAGGCUAUUUUAAUGGAUCUAAUAAAGCAUUCCUCAGACAAUUAAAGGCAUUCUUCAGGGCCUGAAAAACACAUAGUCCAAAGAGGAUAGGGUCAAAAGUAGUCAAAGAACAAGAAAAUGGAACUAAGUAAAUAGCAGUACCAGAUAGUCUUCAUGCAAAUAGAAAUUUGAGGGCUUGCAUUGUUGUUGUUUACCACAGGUUCUGUUUACUCUAGACUUUUAAUGUCCAUUUAUAUUCAUUCCCACUACUGAUAACCUAUGCAUUGUCAACCUCAAACAACAAGAAAGCAGUAUCUCCAUACAAGUCUGAGACUCUGCUUCUGUAGCACAACUGGAACACCUGUGGGCAAAUGAAUUCACAACCUCCAUCUAUUUCCCUCCCCUCUCCAUUAAAAACAAACAAACAA